rnacentral:lncRNA from 1 species
UGGGUUCAGUGGCAACGGUGAACAGCCUCAUCGCCUGCACCGUGGAGCGCAUCAAGGCCGCGGUCUCAGGCGAGAGCAAUCCCCAGCAGCUUCGUUGAAUCUAAGUGUUCUUAUCCUUGCAUUGGAGGUAUGUGCAACGUUAGAACCUGCAAAAUUUCAUCAUUUGGUUUCUUCUGAAUACUGAUGAUUUUUAUCAGUGAUCCUUUUGCGGGAGCAGCAAAUUUUAGAGCUUUCAUCAGUGGGAAGUCAAUAACGCACCUCAGACUCUCCUUGCCAUGUGGUGUGGUGCUCAUAGUUUGGGUUAUUUUUCACCUAGUUUCCGCAAAAUUUCCGGAAAUUCCAAGAUAUGUUUCAGUUGUCAAAGAAAAUGCGUCACCACUACGCAAGG